UCUCCUCUCAAUGUGUGGCGAGUUGUGGCGACGAACGCAUGCGCGCUGGUUAACGCACACAUACCGAGUUGGCCGAACAUGGCAUAUGCUGCAGUUGAAGGCACUUCGCAAGCUGAUUUAGUAAGAAAAGAAAAACGCAAAAGUGCCGUUUGGAAAUAUUUUGCAGACGAGCAUGGAAAGGCUAAGGAUGUCGAUAAGCCUCUGUGCAAACACUGCUACAAAGUUGUGGCGACGAAGUUAAGUAGCACGUCAAACCUGGCGAAGCAGACCGAUAUCCCAGUCUUCAUGAGAAAUUCCGCGAGGCAUUUUUGAUGCAGCGGACAAUGCCCAACAACUCCACUUACACAUUUGUGCUUGAAAUAAUUUUCACAUUUUAGUUCCGAAAAUGCAUUUAUUAGUAGACUUACUACUUACUCUUUUGUGGAAUAAUAGCACUAGAGCAUAUCAGAGUAUGGAUCAGUGCUGAUACCAAUCCAAAAUAUCAGAUCAUUGUACCGCCAAUAAAAUCUAAAGGAUACCCAAACCUA